GUUGUAAAGGGUUUUAGGUUUUACGGGUUUAGGGUUUAGGGUUUAGGGUUUAGGGUUUGGUUUAGGGUUUAGUGGUUUAGGUUUUGGUUUAGUGGUUUAAGGGUUUAUGGUUUAGGGUUUAGGGUAUUAGGGUUUAGGGUUAGGGUUUAGGUUAGAGGUUUAGGGGUUUAGCGGUUUAGGGUUUAGGUUUAGGGUUUAGAGGUUUAUGGUAGCGUUUAGGAGUUUAGGUUUAGGUUUAGGGUUUAGGGUUUAGGGUUUAGCGGUUUAGGGUUUAGGGUUUAGGCUUUAGGGGUUUAGGGUUUAGGCGUUUAGGUUUAGGGUUUAGGGUUUAGGGUUAUAGCGUUUAGGGUUUAAGGUUUACGGGUUUAGGUUUAGGGUUAGGGUUUAGGGUUUAUGGGUUUAGGGUUUACGGGUUUAGGGUAGGGUUUAGUGGUUUACGGUUUAGGGUUUACGGUUAGGGUUUAGGGUUAGGGUUUAGGGUUUUGGGUUUAGGUUUAGGGUUUAUGGGUUUUAGUUUAGGGUUUUAGGGUUUAGGGUUUAGGGUUUACUGGUUUAGGGUUAGGGUUAGGGUUACGGGUUUAUGGGUUUUCGGGUUAUAGUGGUUUAGGUUUAGGGGUUAGGGUUUAGUGGUUUAGGGUUUAGGGGUUUUAGGGUUUAGGGUUUAGGGCUUUAGGGUAGGGUUUAGCGGUUUAGGGUAAGGGUUAGUGGUUUAGGGGUUUAGCGGUUAAGGGUUUUAGGGUUAGCGGUUUAGGGUUUAGGGUUUAGGGUUUGGGGUUUUAGGGUUUAGGGUCUUAGGGUUUAGGGUUUAGGGUUUAGGUGUUUCAGUGUUUAGGGUUUAGGGUUUAGGGUUUAGGGUUUAGGGUAGGGUUUAGGGUUUGGAGGGGUUUAGGGUUUAGGGUUAGGGUUUAGGGUUUAGCGGUUGUAGGGUUUAGGGUUUAGGGUAGGGUUAGGGUUUAGGGUUUCAGGGUUUGGGUUUAGGUUUAGGGUGUUAAGGGUUAGGGUUUAAGGCUUUAAGGGUUUAAGGGCUUUAGGGUUUAGGGUUUAGGGUUAGGGUUUAGGGUUUAGGUUAGGGUUUAGGGUUUAGGGUUUAGGGUUAUACGUAUUCAGGGUUUAGGGUUAGGGUUUAGUGGUUUAGCGUGUUAGGGUUAAGGGUUUAGGGUUGGGUUUUAGGGUUUAGGGUUUAGGGUUUAGGGGUUAGGUUAGGCGCUUUAGGGUUUAGGGUUUUAGGGUUUACGGGUUUAGGGUUAGGGUUUAGGGUUUAGGGUUUAGGGUUUAGGGUUAGGGUUUAACGGGGUUUAGGGUUUACGGGUUUAGUGGUUAGGGUUUACUGGGUUUAAGGGUUUAGGGUUUAGGUUAGGUUUAGGGUUUAACGGGUUUAGGGUUUAGGUUUAGGGUUUAGGGUUUAGGCUUUAGGGUUAGCGGUUUAGGGUUUACGGUUUAGGGUUUUAGGGUUAGAGGUUUAGGGUUUAUGGCGUUUAGGGUUUAGGGUUAGGGUUUAGGGUUGUCGGGUUUAGGGUUUAAGGUUAGGGUUUAGGUUUCAGGGUUUAGGGUUUAGGGUUUAGGGUUUAGGGUUUAAGGCGUUUAGGGUUUAGGGGUUUAGGUUUAAGGUUUAGAGGUUUCAGGGUUAGGGUUACGGGUUUAUGUUUAGGGUUAGGGUUUAGGGUUUAGGGUUUAGGGUUAGGUGUUAGGGUUUUUUAGGGUUUAGGGUUUAGGUUUAGGGUUUAGUUAGGGUUUAGGGUUUAGGGUUUACGGGUUUAGGGUUUAGGGUUUGAGGGGUUUAGCGGUUUAGGUUUAAGGUUUAGGGUUUAGGGUUUAGGGUUAGGGUUUAGGGUUUAAUGGGUUAUGGUUAGGGUCGCGUUUAGGGUUUAGGGUUUAGGGUUGAGGGGUUUAGGGUUUAGGGUUUAGGGUUUUAGGUGUUUUAGGUUUUUAUGGGUUUUUUAAGCGUUUUAGGUUUAGGGUUUUAGGUUUAGGGUUUUAGGGUUUUAGGGUUUUAGGGUUUUAGGGUUUUUAGGGUUUUUAAGAGUUUGAGGGUUUUAGGGUGUUUAGGGUUUGUAGGUUUAGGGUUUAGGGUUUAGGGUUUAGGUUUG
rnacentral:lncRNA from 1 species